GAAAAGAAAAACAAAAAUGAUGUUGCAUCAGGUCUUCUUGUUUUCCCUUUUUCUUUUUUUUUUUUUUUUU
rnacentral:ribozyme from 1 species